rnacentral:rRNA from 1 species
GACGAACGCUGGCGGCGGGCUUAACACAUGCAAGUCGAACGGAAAGGCCCUGCUUGUGUGGGGUUCUCGAGUGGCGAACGGGGGAGUAACACGUGAGUAACCUGCCCUUGACUUUGGGAUAACUUCAGGAAACUGGGGCUAAUACCGGACAGCAGCCCCCGCUGCAUGGUGGGGGUUGGAAAGUUUCGGCUGUCGGGGAUGGAUUCGCGGCUUACCAGCUAGUUGGUGGGGUAGUGGCUUACCAAGGCUUUGACGGGUAGCCGGCCUGAGAGGGUGGACGGGCACAUUGGGACUGAGAUACGGCCCAGACUGCUACGGGAGGCAACAGUGGGGAAUAUUGCACAAUGGGCGGAAGCCUGAUGCAGCAACGCCGCGUGCGGGAAGACGGCCUUCGGGUUGUAAACCGCUUUCGCCUGUGACGAAGCGUGAGUGACGGUAAUGGAUAAAGAAGCACCGGCUAACUACGUG